UGGGGAAUAUUGGACAAUGGGCGCAAGCCUGAUCCAGCCACGCCGCGUGAGUGAUGAAGGCCUUCGGGUCGUAAAGCUCUGCGGGGAGGGACGAACCGCCGGACGUGCAUAGCGUCCGGCAUGACGGUACCUCCUUAGCAAGCACCGGCUAACUUCGUGCCAGCAGCCGCGGUAAUACGAAGGGUGCAAACGUUGCUCGGAAUUAUUGGGCGUAAAGCGCACGUAGGCGGCAUUGCAAGUCGGAUGUGAAAUCCCUCGGCUUAACCAAGGAAGUGCAUCCGAAACUGCAGUGCUUGAGUACUUAAGAGGAUCGCGGAAUUCCCGGUGUAGAGGUGAAAUUCGUAGAUAUCGGGAGGAACACCAGUGGCGAAGGCGGCGAUCUGGGAAGAUACUGACGCUGAGGUGCGAAAGCGUGGGGAGCAAAC
rnacentral:rRNA from 1 species